UUCUUCAUCCAAUUGAAAUUUGAAUAUAUUAUUAAAUUGUGUCACCUAUGUAGUAGAACUGUGGAGUUAUUUUAGAAAUUGGUGCCCUCUAGGCCGAGAAAAGUCAGAAAAUGUGGUUUUUUGCACAUGUGGAUGAAAAACACCAAGUCCCAGAAUGCAUUGCUUCGCUGCUCUACGAGUCCACUCCCUAGUCACGCCUACCGGUUCGAGACGGCAGGAGGGAGGGAGGGAGAUUCAACUCGGCUAAAUACAACUUUUACAGACACGUCUGCAACGAUUUAGUUGAUAUAUUAUUAUAAAUACUACCUUUUCCACAUUGAAAUGAUGAUACGUUGCGUUGUAACGGGAUGUUCAACCAAAACCGGGAAAGGACAAGCAGUAAGUUUUCAUCAUUUGCCGCGGUGUAAACAAUGGCUGCGGGCUAUCAACCACGCAAAGUUCAGAGAAGACAACGAUGCGGUAAAAUUGAAAAACCUGAGGGUUUGCAGUCUCCAUUUCAAGCUGGAAUAUAUCGAACCCAAUGUACUCGGAAUGAAGCGAAACACGCUAAAGGACACUGCGAUUCCGUCUACAUGUACCUUCACAGACACGACGAACAGCCGGGGCCAUCUGGUAUCAAACGCAUUCGUCUACGUUAGAGGUUUCCGGAAGAAGAUGCAGAAGAAGGGGAAAAAAGAACAAUGAAAUCCUCCUUGCAUGGACCAGGUCUGUCAUAAAUCAUAUGUGGUUUUCCUGUGCAACCAGUAAGGGGGACGUCGAGGAGAAGCACGGUUCAACCAAAUGUUCUGCAAGAAAUCCAAGCAGUGGGUCUUGAAGAAAAGCUUCAUACCACACACCACACAGUUUGUAGACGAACUCAUCCAGAAGGCCAUUGACAAGACUCAAUCCAAACAUUGUGUUCAAAGUGCCAACGUCCUCACUUGCCCUGCCACAGCCUGUGCUGCCACCCAACAUUGCACCAGUGCCUAAACCAUCAAAGGAGGCUGCCACGACUUCUUUCAAAAGUCGCUUCUGAGACUGACACUUUCUAAUAAUAAUAAAAAUCACCUCUUCCCUGAGUCCUAUUGCUGUGUCUAAUCAGAUUCUGCCACCACUCUUUAUUUUUAUAUUAUUAUAUACUGUGUGUAUAUAUACACAAUGUUUUUGUAUAUAUUUUUGCUUUGUUUUUAUUUUGUGCAGGACAUUUUUAGAUGUAAAUUAUGUCAUUGUUUAUU